UACGUAGGGUGCGAGCGUUGUCCGGAAUUAUUGGGCGUAAAGAGCUUGUAGGCGGUUUGUCGCGUCUGCUGUGAAAAUCCGGGGCUCAACCCCGGACUUGCAGUGGGUACGGGCAGACUAGAGUGUGGUAGGGGAGACUGGAAUUCCUGGUGUAGCGGUGAAAUGCGCAGAUAUCGAGGAGGAACACCGGUGGCGAAGGCGGGUCUCUGGGCCGAUACUGACGCUGAGGAGCGAAAGCGUGGGGAGCGAACAGG
rnacentral:rRNA from 1 species